rnacentral:misc_RNA from 1 species
AACGCAUAUUGCACUUUCUGGUAUUCCGGAAAGUAUGCCUGUUUGAGGGUCAGUUAAAUAAAAAUCGGUGUUGUUGCUGCCUUUCGUGGUGACGCGUCGGAAUUGAGUCGUCUUAUCUUCGGCUAAGUGACUUAAAAUUUUAUAUGAUUUUCCGAACGUAUUUAAAUUGCUUACGUACGUUUGAGAUAUCGAAUAUUUUAUUAGGUUCGGUCAUCCUCAUGAAUCGCGCCUAUAAUUUUUUUCAUUAAAUGACCUCAAAUCAGGUAAGAAUACCCGCUGAACUUAA